UAAAAUGGAUAAAAAAAAUUGAUAAAAAAAUAAUUAAAUUUUUUUUCUUGUUAUAUUGGAAUGGUCAUUCCUUCCUUUUUAAAAUGGAAUAGCCAUUCCACCAAAAUGGUGGAAAGAGCAUUCCAUUGGAAUGUCAUUCCAAUACUUUAAAAUGCAACCAAACAAAUGAAUGGAAUGAAAAUUAUUUCCUUUCCAUUCCAUUCCAUUUCAUUACCUCCAACCAAACGCCAAGUGGAUAGGUAUUAGCUGAAUUAAAUAAGUUUUGUUUAAUAAACUAGGGAAAGUCAAAACCAAUACCUCUUCACUUUCUCUCUCUUCUAGUUUGGCGAAACCAAAAACAAGGAGAAAAACUAGACCUUCUUCCAUCAUAAUCUAAUCACAAUCAAGGGAUUUCAACAAGAUUUCAAGUAAUUAGAGUUAGAUUCAGCUCAAGGUCUUAAAUCGUUGAGCAGCAUUUUUCACUCAGAGUUAUCGAUAUACUUGCAUUCAGAAUCAAGAUUGACGCUAUCACAUCGCUGUGACUAGAGUACCGAGUAUUCGCUAAUAUUAUGGUCAGUAAUACUGUCGUACGAACGUUCCAGACUUAGAUGUGGGGUACGCGAUAGGAUUCUUAUUGAAUGUAUUGGCACCUAGUUAUAAUCAUGUAUAUGUUUAUGAUUAUGAUUAUGUUUUUCUUACUGAGUCUAUCGAUUCACGGUUAUUAUGUUUAUGUGCAAGUAAGAGCUAGAACCGAACAUGGAUGAGUCUCGAGCUGGAUAGAGAUUGUACAUAUCAACACAGUUAGACCUGGAGUGUUCAGGGUCUUCGGGAUAGUUUAGGCUUACUUUUGAUAGUUGUUAGACGAUUGAUUUUAUAGUACAAGUAUUAUGCAAACUUAUGUAACUUUUAAAACAGGAUCCCAGAUUAUGUAAAUUAUUAUAUAUAUUUAAGAUUAAAAUUUAACUAUGCGAAUUUUAAUUA